AUCUAAGUAGUUUAUAAAAAUAUUGAUUUGUGGAGUCAAGGAUACACUUUUGUGUUUUAGGUA
rnacentral:tRNA from 1 species